UCACCUGUUUCAUCGGUGUAAACACUAAUCCCAUGAGGGUUGAAUGAACUGAGGUCCAGCUCUCCUUUGAUCUGCAGCUGAACAGGAGUCGGCUUUGGAUGCAGCAGAUUCAAAAGGUACAUUUUUCCCGGCUCAUCACAGAAUGAAUGCAUUCCUUGGAAUCUCAACCCC